GGUUUUUAUAAAUCACCGCCAAAGUGCUUUGUUUUAUGGUGCAAGAAAUCUUCAGCCUUGAUAUGAACACCGAAACCUGUGUUGGCCUCCAUAAGUGAUUAAGGAAACUGCUCCUGCAUACAAAACCCAGGAAUGAGACCUCUGAAGCCAGGAUUCCAGUAAACAACUUGUACAUUCACUGAGCUCCUUGUACAAAAUCCAGUGAGACACAGAUGCUUGAAAUACAGCUUUUGAUAGAACCAUCAAUCAAACUACUUCAAUGGGUAGCAGAUGAAAAAGCUGUGCUGGGCCACCACAAAGACCUGACUGAGUAACAUGCUGAGGAGCCAAUCGCUGUUACAAAGAUGCUAGCUGCACCCCCAGAGGAGGAAACUUGGCAGAGUGAAGGGGCCAGGAGCCAAUCAUAAACUACUAGUAGCACUACAAGGCACAGGAUGGCUCAUUAACAUGGGACUUCUGUCUUUCUCAUUUCUAUGCUCUGUUCCUAUUGUGCUCCUAUAAGCAUGUAUAAACACUGGAUCAAAA